rnacentral:misc_RNA from 1 species
CUGUCAGCGCGCCGCCGCCCCGACGCCCGCACACAAGCGCCGCCGCCCCGACGCCCGCACACCUGCCCCGACGCCCGCACAGCGCGCCGCUGCCGCCGCCCCUCGAGCCGCCCGCGCCCGGCUUUGCCCGCUGCCGCCGCCUUCCGGGUCCCUCCAGGAAACUUGCUAACUCCGGGAAAUGAGGACUCUGAAGAUGCGGUCGCUUCUUUUGUGGACGGUCUUCUAAACAGUGGAGGAGCUAGCGGAUCAAAUCAACCACAUCCAUUUGAUCAACCUCCUCCAUUUGAGUAG